UUUAAGUGUAUAUAAGUUUCCGUGCUCAACUUUAAUCAUCUAUCUUAUUUAAAUUUUUUUAAUAAAAUAGUACUUUAUGCGUGACUUAUGUUUUUAAAUUUUUUUUAAAAAAAUUUAAAUAAGACGGACAAUUAAAAUUAGGGACGGAAAAUAGGUGGAGGGAGUAGC
rfam:Oryza glaberrima chromosome 3 Oglab03_0155_10, whole genome shotgun sequence.